UACGUAGGGUGCGAGCGUUGUCCGGAAUUAUUGGGCGUAAAGAGCUCGUAGGCGGUCUGUCACGUCGGCUGUGAAAACCCGAGGCUCAACCUCGGGCCUGCAGUCGAUACAGGCAGACUAGAGUGCGGUAGGGGAGACUGGAAUUCCUGGUGUAGCGGUGAAAUGCGCAGAUAUCAGGAGGAACACCGGUGGCGAAGGCGGGUCUCUGGGCCGUAACUGACGCUGAGGAGCGAAAGCGUGGGGAGCGAACAGG
rnacentral:rRNA from 1 species